AGUAUGCCCUGUGGGCCCUGAACGCACCACACAAGUGCCUGACUUUAAUUGGUUGUAGCGCUGCCUGCAUAUAAAGGGCCCUCCCUCACCUGGUAGACAACACGUUCUCUUUCCGGUUCAGACUUCACUGUUUACUGGCGCUAUACGACUGACGCGCUUAAGACAUUAAUUGCUGUUCAAGCCUUCUUCUGGUGACUUGUACCAGCUGACUGCUUCUUCUCCCUGCCAGAGGCAUAACGCAUCAAGCUCAGUGACGCUGCUGUUUGUCCUUGGCCGGCUGCUUGCCCGUACUCUGUUGUCCCUGGUUGACGGUCCGUCCGCCUGUGACCUGGUUAUUCGUCGUCGGCUGACGGCGGCCUACCCGUCGCCCUGGUUGUCGGCUUCAUACCCGCUGUCCUGGUCGGCGUAAGCUGGCUUUUGACUCUCGUCCAGUGUGGCUGAUUCAGGCUGGUUUAUGACCAGCUCGUCCUGAUCCCUCUGGUGCCGCUCUGGCUGGCGUUUGCUGUGGCGCGGCGGUUCGUCUCAGGACGGACUCCUAACUGGGACUGCUAUUGCUUGAUUUG